GAGUGACGUGAUGGCAUACCAUCUUUCGGGACUGACCUGAGAUGGAGAUGGAAAAAAAAAAGUAAAGUCUGCUGAUCACUU
rnacentral:snoRNA from 13 species